rnacentral:rRNA from 2 species
UUUCUGCCACCGAAUACAUUAGCAUGGGAUAAUGGAAUAGGACCCUGUCCUCCUAUUUUCAGUUGGUUUUGGCAGCGCGAGGACUAGGGUAAUGAUUAAUAGGGAUAGUUGGGGGCAUUAAUAUUUAAUUGUCAGAGGUGAAAUUCUUGGAUUUAUGAAAGAUUAACUUCUGCGAAAGCAUCUGCCAAGGAUGUUUUCAUUAAUCAAGAACGAAAGUUAGGGGAUCGAAGACGAUCAGAUACCGUCGUAGUCUUAACCAUAAACGAUGCCGACCAGCGAUUAGGAGACGUUGAAUACAAAACACCACCAUCGGUGCGGUCGUCCUUGGCGUCGGUCUUUCGGGGCCGGCGCGGGGACGGCUUAGCCCGGUGGCACCGGUGAAUGACUCCCU